rnacentral:lncRNA from 1 species
CGGAAAUGCCGUGUAGCCAAAGCCGCCGCUGUAAUGCGUUGCGAAACCUUUGAUUUUGGCGUACCGUACUGCUACGAAUGUUUCGCGCCACACCUUUCGCGGGUACCCCAAAAAUAUAGCUGGAAUUUUUCGUUUUGUUACACCAAUUCGCGAGGGCUGUCAGUUUUUAUGGCACACAUUUGUUUACAUGAACACACAUUUCGCG